rnacentral:lncRNA from 1 species
AAAUUUAAAAAAUAUAUGUAAUUUAUUAGAAUUUUUAUAUGUUGUAUAAUAUAAAGCCGAGUAAAUUGCACGUUUGGUCCUCAAACUAUCAGUAAGGUAAUAAUUUGGCUCUCAAAUUUUAAUUCAUUAUAAUUUUUAGCUUGAAAUUUUUGAACUGUUGCGAUUACAUUCCACAACCUAAAUUUAAUUGGCUAAAUAUUGAUAAAUUGCUAAUGUAGAAGUGAUGGAGAAGUAUUAUGAUUGAUGAUGUGACAAAAAAAAUAAUUAAGAUAUUACAUCACUUCUGCAUCAAUAAUUUGUCGAUAUUAUAAUAAUUUUAAAAGUUCGGACUAGAAAUUAUAACAAAUUAAGAUAUGAGAUCUAAAGUGUCCCACGCCUCACAGUUAGAGGA